GAGGAAGGCCGUGGAUGGAGGAAGGCCGACGGAGAGAAGAACGCCGUUGAUAGAGGGAAGACGGUGCUGUCAUACUUCACGGUCGCGGUGAUGGAUCCCGCGUCGCCGUCACCCAUGGCCGCCGCUCUUACUGCCGCUCUAUUUGGUUUUGUUUUGACCUGUGCCGCCCUCUGAGUGGUCACUAACAACAGCUUCCAGAGCCACCAGUGCCACUGUUACUCCUCAAAUUUCGCCUCUCUUCUAUUAGGCACGGCCAUUUUGCUCCUCCUAUUUUUCUGCUGGAGCUGUCUUGAGUGUUGAUGAUUGUGCCGCUAUGGAAUUGCUAAAGUUGCUGCUGCCAUGGAUUAAAAAGAAAGGGGAUU